rnacentral:rRNA from 1 species
UAGGGAAUAUUGGACAAUGGGCGAAAGCCUGAUCCAGCCACGCCGCGUGAGUGAUGAAGGCCUUCGGGUUGUAAAGCUCUGUGGGAAGGGACGAAAAAAGUGAGUUCAAAUAGGGCUCGCUCUCGACGGUACCUUCUUAGCAAGCACCGGCUAACUCUGUGCCAGCAGCCGCGGUAAUACAGAGGGUGCGAACGUUGCUCGGAAUUACUGGGCGUAAAGCGCGUGUAGGCGGAUUCGCAAGUCGGGUGUGAAAUCCCUGAGCUCAACUCAGGAACUGCAUCCGAAACUGCGUAUCUUGAGUACUGGAGAGGGAAGCAGAAUUCCUGGUGUAGAGGUGAAAUUCGUAGAUAUCAGGAGGAACACCGGUGGCGAAGGCGGCUUCCUGGACAGUGACUGACGCUGAGACGCGAAAGCGUGGGGAGCAAACAGGAUUAGAUACCCGUGUAGUCC